UGUUUGGGGGACUCAGUGUUUUCCACCUUACCUCAAGCUGCUGCGCCACAGGAAUACACACCUACUGCAAACACCUGUCACAUCUGCCAGGACUAUGCAGCCAUGUGAGAUAAAUUUUUGAUAUCCAAAAUACAGAUAGAUAGGUUCCUGUGAGAUGGAAAAACUGUUUUUAACCUCUAUAUUUCAGGUUCAGUUGCUCAAACAAGGACAUCUAUUUUCAUUUGAGGUGCUCCUAUGUAACUUAUCCAGCCUCCCAGUUCCUGUAUGGGCAUUCCAUAAGUCCUUGGUCAAAUUUACCCAGUCCUGUGCAGACAGGAAGUUUCUGGAAGCAGCAGAAGACACACUGCUUGUGCUCCUUCACAGAAUUGUUACCUGGCAGUAUAAGCAUUGUGGAAGUAUGAACUUAAAGAAGAAAAGUUGA
rnacentral:lncRNA from 1 species